rnacentral:rRNA from 1 species
GACAGAGGUGCCAAGCGUUAGGCGGAAUCACUGGGCUUAAAGCGUGUGUAGGCGGAUCGUUAAGUACCUUGUGAAAUCCCACGGCUCAACCGUGGGACUGCUGGGUAUACUGGCGAUCUUGAGCCACCUAGGGGCGAGCGGAACAAGCGGUGGAGCGGUGAAAUGCGUAGAUAUCGCUUGGAACGCCAACGGUGAAAACAGCUCGCUGGGGGUGUGCUGACGCUGAGACACGAAAGCCAGGGGAGCGAACGGG